AACGAACGCUGGCGGCAUGCCUAACACAUGCAAGUCGAACGAGACCUUCGGGUCUAGUGGCGCACGGGUGCGUAACGCGUGGGAACCUGCCCUUAGGCUCGGAAUAACUCCCCGAAAGGGGUGCUAAUACCGGAUAAUGUCUUCGGACCAAAGAUUUAUCGCCUUUGGAUGGGCCCGCGUUGGAUUAGCUAGUUGGUAGGGUAAAAGCCUACCAAGGCGACGAUCCAUAGCUGGUCUGAGAGGAUGAUCAGCCACACUGGGACUGAGACACGGCCCAGACUCCUACGGGAGGCAGCAGUGGGGAAUAUUGGACAAUGGGCGAAAGCCUGAUCCAGCAAUGCCGUGUGAGUGAUGAAGGCCUUAGGGUUGUAAAGCUCUUUUACCCGGGAUGAUAAUGACAGUACCGGGAGAAUAAGCUCCGGCUAACUCCGUG
rnacentral:rRNA from 1 species